AGAGUUUGAUCCUGGCUCAGGAUGAACGCUGGCGGCGUGCCUAACACAUGCAAGUUGAACGAAGCGCUUACAACUAAAUCCUUCGGGAGGAAGAAGUAAGCGACUUAGUGGCGGACGGGUGAGUAACGCGUGGGCAACCUGCCCUGUACAGGGGGACAACAGCCGGAAACAGCUGCUAAUACCCCAUAAGCGCACAGUAACGCAUGUUACAGUGUGAAAAGCCGAGACGGUACAGGAUGGGCCCGCGUCUGAUUAGAUAGUUGGUGGGGUAGAGGCCUACCAAGUCAGCGAUCAGUAGCCGGCCUGAGAGGGUGAACGGCCACAUUGGAACUGAGACACGGUCCAGACUCCUACGGGAGGCAGCAGUGGGGAAUAUUGCACAAUGGGGGAAACCCUGAUGCAGCGACGCCGCGUGAAGGAAGAAGUAUUUCGGUAUGUAAACUUCUAUCAGCAGGGAAGAAAAAAGACGGUACCUGACUAAGAAGUCCCGGCUAACUACGUG
rnacentral:rRNA from 1 species